CAAGGUGAUGCAGAGAUGCAUAAUUGGCUCCGCAGAAGUCAGCAGAGGCCAUAGUACCUUUUUUUAUGUAGGGAAGGGC
rnacentral:ncRNA from 1 species